CGCGGGGGUAUAACAGCGGCGCGCGUGGCUCGCAGACCGGGGAGACGGGCGGGCGCACAGCCGGCGCGGACGCCCCACAGCCCCGCCGGGACCCGAGGCCAGGCGAGGGGCUGCCAGUGUCCCGGGACCCACCGCGUCCGCCCCAGCCCCGGGUCCCCGCGCCGACCCCAUGGCGGCCGACGCGGCGCUACGCCGGUUCCUGAGGCUGCACCGCACGGAGAUCGCGGUGGCCGUGGACAGCGCCUUCCCACUGCUGCACGCGCUGGCCGACCACGACGUGGUCCCCGAGGACAAGUUCCAGGAGACGCUUCAUCUGAAGGAAAAGGAGGGCUGCCCCCAGGCCUUCCACGCCCUCCUGUCCUGGCUGCUGACCCAGGACUCCACAGCCAUCCUGGACUUCUGGAGGGUGCUGUUCAAGGACUACAACCUGGAGCGCUAUGGCCGGCUGCAGCCCAUCCUGGACAGCUUCCCCAAAGAUGUGGACCUCAGCCAUCCCCGGAAGGGGAGGAAGCCCCCGGCCGUCCCCAAGGCUUUGGUACUGUCACCCAGACCCCCCACCAAGAGGAAGGCCUCAGAAGAGGCUCGAGCUGCGGCGCCAGCAGCCCUGUCUCCAAGGGGCACCUCCAGCCCAGGUACCCUCCCUGCAGGGGAAGCCAGCCGGGGUCUCCAGUCUUCCCCGGGAGCCCACGCCCCCUCCCCACCUGGACUCCCACCCACUGGGCAUGGAGCCAGCCUGCCUGGGGCUGUGGGGGUCUCCUCUGGGUACUAGACCAACACACUGGACCAGCCUCUCAGCUCCCUCCUGCCCGAAGGCUGAGCUCCCCAGGGCUGGCGAAGUAGGCAGGCGGGUUUCAUUUCCCUUUUACUGAUGAGAAACCAGAGCCCGGCAAAAGGAAUACCCAGCACUGGACCCCCCCCCCACACCCUCCCACGCUGGCCCCUGCCCACCAGCACUCACCCCCACCGAGGGGGGAGGCCAGGCUGCCCCCAGCUCCCCCAUUCAGGCUCUCAACUGAAGGCCAAGCCCCCCAAGAAGCCGGAGAGCAGCGCAGAGCAGCAGCGCCUUCCGCUCGGGAACGGGAUUCAGACCAUGUCAGCUUCAGUCCAGAGAGCUGUGGCCGUGUCCUCUGGGGACGUCCCGGGAGCCCGAGGGGCCGUGGAGGGGAUCCUCAUCCAGCAGGUGUUUGAGUCAGGUAGACGCUGUGGUGGGGAGAUGGGGCUGAUGGGGAGACCCAGGCUCCAAGAUGGAAGGAGGACCAUGCCCCUUUGCAUCCUGGUGGUCCCACAGCAGACCGGGCUGUCGCUCAGGUAGCCAGAGUUUCUGCCUAUGGUUCUGCUGACUUUGGAGGAGGAGGGUGGGUGCUGAAAUCUCCCUGUCGGGGGACCUUCUGCAAGGCCGGCGGUCCAGGCCCACAUCCCCGCCCAGGAUGUGCAGCACUCCCCAGUCACCUCCAUCCAUGUGCAUGGGCCCUCCUGGGCCAUGGGGUUGCAUCCUUAGAAAGUUCUGCCUGUGCUGCUGAGACCCUCCAGGGUAUCGGCAUUCUUCAACCAGGACAGCCUGUAGCAUAGCGUCCUUGUCCCCCAUACCCUGGCCAGCCUGCAGCGUCCUCGCCCCCCAUACCCUGGCCAGCCGCUGACCCCAUGCAAUCACCAGUGCCAUCUGACCAGGGCACAGCAGGGCCGCGGGUGGCAGACCCACCGUGCCAUCGGGGCAUUCCAUCUAAAGUCCCUGCCACGGCGUCUCCUCGGUGCUGGACAUGGGCUGGGAACACCAAGCACAGCUAGGGCCCUGGUCUUGCACCUCUGGAUGGUCCCAAGGCCCACUGUGUUACUUCCUAAGGCUGUUGGAUCAAAUUGGCACAAACUGGGAGGCUUGAAAUGACAGAAAUGCCAACAUCGAGGUGUCUCGGGGCCACACUCCCUCUGGAGGCUCCGGGGAAGAAUCCUUCCUUGUCUCUCUCAGCUGCUGGUCAUUAUGGGGGUACCCCUGUGCCCCUUGUUCCUGGGCUCAGGACCCCACCGCUCCAGCCUCUGCUUCUGUGGUCUCAAAGCCGUCUCCCAUGUGUCCUCUUUAUAAGGACACCAGUCAUUGAACUUAUGGUCCAGUGUGACCUCAUCUUAACUAAUCACAUCUACAAAGACCCCAAUUUCAAGUAAGGUCACACUCUGAGGUUCUGGGUGGACGUGAACUUCGGGGGACACUGUUGAAAACCCUGGUGUAGACCCAGGACAAUCCCCGGGCCCCAGACUCGACUGGGGUUGGGGCGGGCUGGAGGAAUGCAUGCUGUGGGAACUCCACCUGUCUCUGCUAGACCCCAGCCCGGGGCCUACACAACUGCCAAGGCAGGUCCUGCUGGGCGGGUGAGCCAGGACCAGCCAGCAUCUCCUCCCAGGGGGCUCCAAGAAGUGUAUCCAGGUCGGCGGGGAGUUCUACACUCCCAGCAAGUUCGAAGACCCCGGCGGUGGGAAGAACAAGGCCCGCGGCAGCAGUGGCCCGAAGCCUCUGGUUCGAGCCAAGGGAGCCCAGGGCGCUGCCCCCGGUAGAGGUGAGGCUAGGCUGGGCCAGCAGGGCAGGGUUCCCGCCCCUCCGGCCCUCCCCAGUGACCCCCAGCUCCACCAGAACGAGGACGAGUGUGCCGUGUGCCGGGACGGCGGGGAGCUCAUCUGCUGUGACGGCUGCCCUCGGGCCUUCCAUCUGGCCUGCCUGUCCCCUCCGCUCCGGGAGAUCCCCAGUGGGACCUGGAGGUGCUCCAGCUGCCUGCAGGCAACAGUCCAGGAGGUGCAGCCCCGGGCAGAGGAGCCCCGGCCUCAGGAGCCACCCGUGGAGACCGCGCUCCCCCCGGGGCUUAGGUCCGUGGGAGAGGAGGUGAGAGGUCCACUUGGGGAACCCCUAGCCGGCAUGGACACGACUCUUGUCUACAAGCACCUGCCGGCCCCGCCUUCUGCAGCCCCGCUGCCAGGGCUGGACUCCUCGGCCCUGCACCCCCUACUGUGUGUGGGCCCUGAGGGGCAGCAGAACCCGGCUCCUGGUGCGCGUUGCGGGGUGUGUGGAGACGGUACGGACGUGCUGCGGUGUACUCACUGCGCUGCCGCCUUCCACUGGCGCUGCCACUUCCCAGCGGGCGCCUCCCAGCCCGGGACGGGCCUGCGCUGCAGAUCCUGCUCAGGAGACGUGACCCUGGCCCCUGUGGAGGGGGUGCUGGCCCCCAGCCCCGCCCACCUGGCCCCUGGGCCUGCCAAGGAUGACACUGCUAGUCACGAGCCCGCUCUGCACAGGGAGGACCUGGAGAGCCUUCUGAGCGAGCACACCUUCGACGGCAUCCUGCAGUGGGCCAUCCAGAGCAUGGCCCGCCCAGCUGCUCCCUUCCCCUCCUGACCCCGGACGGCCGGGACAUGCAGCUCUGAUGGGAGGGUGCCGAGAAGGACAUCUCCUUCCUCAGCCCUGGAAGCCGGCCGGCUGGGAUCAAGAAGGGGACAGCGCCACCUCUUGUCAGUCCUUGGCUGUAAACAGCCCUGUGUUUCUGGGGACACCAGCCAUCAUGUGCCUGGAAAUUAAAACCUGCCCCACCUCUCACUCUGGAAGUCCCCAGGGGCCUCUCCUUGCCUGGUGACCUACUAAAAAUAUAAAAAUUAGCUGGGUGUGGUGGUGGGUGCCUGUAAUCCCAGCUACACGGGAGCCUGAGGCAUGAGAAUCACUUGAACUCAGGAGGUGGAGGUUGCAGUGAGCUGAGAUUGCACCACUGCACUCCAGCCCGGUCGACAAGAGCGAGGCUCUGUCUCAAAAAAAACACACAAAAAAAUAACAUAAAUUUAUCAUCUUGACUUUUCAGUUCAGUGGCAUUCACAUCUCAUGUAACCAUCGCCACCACCAACUGCAGAGCUGUUCCAGCUUCCUGAACGGAAACUCUGGCCCCACGAAACACUCACUCCCCAUUCCCCUCCCAACCCCUGGCACCCUCCACUCUACUUUCUGUCUCUAUGACUUCUCCAGGGACCUCAUGGAAGUGGAAUCGCACAGCAUCUGUCCUUUUGUGUCUGUCUUAUUUUCCUCAGCACGGUGGCCCCAAGGUUCAUCCAUGUUGUAGCAUGCGCCGAGAUCUGCUUCCUUUUUAAGGCUGAGUCAUAUUCCAGCACGUGGAUCGACUGCAUUGUGUUCAUCUAUGCUUUCCUCAACGGACACACCUGGGUGCUUCCACCUUCUGGCUGCUGUGAAUAAUGCUGCUAUGAAUAUGUGUGUGCAAAUAUCUGUGUGAGUCUUUGAGUAAAAUCGCUGGAUCACAUGGUAA
rnacentral:sRNA from 1 species